AAGUCGUAACAAGGUAUCCGUAGGUGAACCUGCGGAUGGAUCAUUAUCACGUAUCCACGUAUCAACCAUUGUGAACUGUUUUUUAUAUCUUGUUUUAUUUUAAGUUUCUUUUUUUAGUGAUGUCUCGAUAUCAUUAAAGAAUUAAAUUUAAUACUAAAGCAUUAUAUAUAUUAUUUUAUUAACAAUUUGAACCAUAACUUUAUAAUUUUUGACUUACUUAUUUUAUACUCUUCGGAGAUAAAAUUCAUUACGAAACAAAGAACAACUCUUAGCAACGGAUAUCUUGGUUCUCGUAAAGAUGAAGAACGCAGC
rnacentral:misc_RNA from 1 species